rnacentral:lncRNA from 1 species
GUGUUAUGCGUUUACUUUUCUACAUUGGCUAGAGGUAUAGGGGGAGGGUUGAGAUUUCACAAACAUGUUUAACCCCGCCGCAUUUUUGCGCCUGUCUCAAGUCAGGAGCCUCUGGUCUUCGUUAGUCUUGUAUUAUUUUAAUUUUAGUUUCUUGUGUACAAUUUGGAAAUUAGUAUGGCGUUCAUUAUCACUGAACUAGUAUAUAUUUGUUUAG